CUACGAAACGCAGAACCUUUUAGGCUAGCUCCAAAGGCUGCAAGGGCCACUCCACUCUGAAGGUGCUAGCGGGAGACAUAAUGCCUGGCAGUCUGAACAAAUGACUUGGACACCAAGGCGUUAAUAACACGAGACUGGCACCAAAGACAAAACGAAGCUCGGACACCGGAAACUGAAUGAGUGAAGUGUCGAAACCUGGGCCGCCGCGUAUCUUGGGGCACCAACUUCACGCUCAGUUGACGCAGUUGGACGACGGGCCUCUCCCUAGAAGCGGUCUCUCAGCUGUGACACGCGCUGAUUGGGCGAUUUUCUCAAACACAUUGCCAGCUACCAGAGGGAGGAAACCCCCGCGUGCGACAGGAAAACAAGACUGGAAGGAGACACAUGCUCUACAUCACUGCAUUUCUCACGUGACAGGUGACCCCGUGAGUCAUUUGCUAUCAUCGUGGCUCGGGAAUGUGAACGUAUUAGUGAAAAGGAAAGAUAAACUGGCGUGGCCUUCGAUAAACCCGUAUAUAUUAUCAUAAUCAUGUUGAAAUAAACCCACGUUG